AGAGUUUGAUCCUGGCUCAGGAUGAACGCUGGCGGCGUGCCUAACACAUGCAAGUCGAACGGUCCGCAAGGACAGUGGCGCACGGGUGAGGAACACGUAGCUGACCUGCCUCAAGGUGUGGGAUAACGGUUCGAAAGGACUGCUAAUACCGCAUAAGCUCACGGUGCUUGGAAAGCUGUGAGAAAAGGAGCAAUCCGCCAUGAGAGGGGGCUGCGACCCAUCAGGUAGUUGGUAAGGUAACGGCUUACCAAGCCGACGACGGGUAACGGGUCUGAGAGGAUGAUCCGUCACACUGGGACUGAGACACGGCCCAGACUCCUACGGGAGGCAGCAGUGAGGAAUAUUGCACAAUGGGGGAAACCCUGAUGCAGCGACGCCGCGUGGGUGAUGAAGGCUUUCGGGUCGUAAAACCCUUUUUUGUGUGACGAGAGAGGACGGUAGCACAAGAAUAAGCCUCGGCUAACUACGUGCCAGCAGCCGCGGUAAAACGUAGGAGGCGAGCGUUAUCCGGAGUUACUGGGCGUAAAGCGCGUGUAGGUGGCUUUCUACGUCUGCUGUGAAAUAUCCCGGCUUAACCGGGAGGAUGCGGCAGAUACGGGAAGGCUGGAGGGCGACAGAGGAGCGUAGAAUUCCGGGUGUAGUGGUGAAAUGCGUAGAGAUCCGGAGGAAUACCAGUGGCGCAAGCGGCGCUCUGGGUCGCGCCUGACACUGAGACGCGAAGGCAUGGGGAGCGAACGGGAUUAGAAACCCCGGUAGUCCAUGCCGUAAACGAUGCA
rnacentral:rRNA from 1 species